CUCUGAUAUCGCAUAUACCGCGAUCGUCGUUUUGAGUUUUUAACAUUUCAAAAAUCAUAAUCCAAAUUCCAGUUUCCUGAUAAGCCACAGCAACUUUCGGCUUGAAUAUCAACAAAUUUCUAAGUUAAACAUUAUAAAUAUAACACUUUAUAAAGUUAUAUUUGUACAAGCAACACAUACGUGUAGUUUGUAACAUCUGCACUCUGCGUUGAUAUUAAGUGGAAACUUUUCAUACAUAAUAUACAAUAAGAUGGAUAAUGACAAGAAUAAUGAACAAUUCUCCCGUAUUACCAUUAAUUCAUCCAUUCAAAACGAUACCAGCGAAAUUGAUUUCGAUGUGACACCUACAACUUCGGCAUCAAUCGUCACCCAUGAGGAAUACCUUCCUUCAUCAGCAUCAAUGCCAGCUGUCUCCGAUAUCGAGCAUCGUUAUCAAUUAAUCGGCAAUAUCAAUGUUGUUAAUCAAAUGUUUAUGUUACACAGCUAUUUCCAUUCGAAAUAAGUUGCAAACAGUUUGCAGGGAAGUUAAUCAAGAUGUGCUUUGCAUCUGCUAUACGGAAACUUACGACUUUUUGGCGGCAGGGCUGACGGACGGGAACCUAAAGUUAUACAAAGUUAGCACAGGGGAGAACACGCUGAUUCUAUGCGAUGCGGAGAUGAUGCAGAAUCCGGCUCCGGUGACCGCUGUAAAGCAUCGACCAGUGCGUAGAUCACACCCGAUCACUCGCACUAUGAUAGCGACUUAUGCCAACGGCUGCAUUAAAUGUUGGCAUUAUCCUACCGCACAAUGCCUUUACACGAUACGGGAAAGACGACAAACGCUCGGUCUGGCUUACCAUCCUCAAUUACCGAAGUUCGUCACUGUCGGGGAUGAUACAAAUUUAUAUUUGUACGAUGAAGAAACGAAGACGCGGGAGAGAGUGUUUUGCGGAAGUGACGCGCUGGAUGUUAUGGAUGGUCAUAAAUCCAGAGUUUUUAGCGCCUGCUUCAAUCCCAAAUCCGCGUACGAGCUGAUAAGCGCUGGCUGGGACGACACCAUCCAGUUCUGGGACACUCGACAAGCUCAUUCCCUUCGAUUUAUAUCGGGUGUACAUAUGUGCGGGGACGGCCUAGACAUCAGUAGAAAUGGGAAAGAGAUCCUGACUUGUUCCUGGCAGAAGGACAAUCCUUUGCAAUUGUGGGACUACGGUAGCGGUAAAUUGAUCAUCACUUUGGAACCAGACAGUUACUCUUCUUUAUUGUACGUUGGAAAAUACAUAACAAAUAUGUACAUUGCAUGCGGUGGCUGCGACACUGAUCUUUUCAGAAUCGUCGAUUUACGAUCUCGUUCUACCAUAGCUAUGAUCAAAUAUUUCAAGGGUGGUGUGUAUAGUUUGGAUGUCGGCCCGUUAGAAAGGAAAUACAGUAAACGGAUUCUCCCAAAGCUCGCAUUUUGUGCCGGAACAACGAUUUUUGAAGUAGACGCCCAGCCUGGUUGACUGAUUUAUAUAUAUGCAAUUUACUACUUGCACCAUAGACAAUACGUCCUGUUUCGUAAUACUUUUGCGGCAAUUAACGUGAUUGGGUAUCCGAGCCACAUCGGAAUUCCAAUGGAUAUCUUCUCUGGAAAGAAAUGACACGUGCACUCAAGCAAUAAACAAUCAAGUUCUCGUAUCGAGCGAACGCACACACUUAAGCAAGACUUAAGAGGCGAGGGGCGGAUUUGGAGCGAACAGGUUGAAGGAACAGGGGCAUUAGGGGACAUCGUGGGACAAUCACUAAAACUGAGCACAUCGAUUUGUGACAAUACAAACUUACUUGACACGAGCAAAUCCAUCGGUUGACAAGCGAUACGUGGUAGAAAAAGAAAAGAUUGCUCGCGCACACAAACACGGUGAGAGAGCAGAAAGCGCAUCGCAUUUUUUUUCUCCUUUUCUUUUUCUUUUCUCAGUACUCGCGCCGUAGACGACACGUCCUGUUUCGUAAUACUUUUGCGGCGAUUAGCGUGAUCGGGUAACCGAGCCACAUCGGAAUUCCAUACGGGAAUCCAGUGGAUAUCUUGUGCAUUCAAGUAUAUACUCCAAACUCGACGAUUACGUCGGGCAACAUUUCGAGACUUUGAAACUUCGCUCCUCGCAACUCUUGCGCUUAAAAAGAGGGGACGAGUCACCUCCGGCGGCGAGACAUCGCAGAGAAAAAAAAAAACAGAUCCUCCUCCUCCUAAAUCGCAUCCAAUUGUACUUAAUCUGUAUAAGUAGAUAAUAGUUAAUCUCUAGGUGCGAUCCAACAGACUAUUUGGGAAACUACUAUAUUCCAGGACAUCUUUCGCCCGCAUCUACAAUCUAAACGAUCAACGAGCCUAAUUUGGUUUGAGAAACGUGUUUGUAAUAAAAUAUAUUUAUACACGAUAAUCGCGACGCGCUUGCGAAGCGCCUUUUAGCAGCGGUCGCAUUCGUCAGAGUACAUCAGAGUAUAAAAUUGGUCGUCAUAAAUUUGCGCGGUUAAAUCGGGUUUCCUUCGUUUCUUUUUUUUUUGUCUAACUAAAUCCCGCGACGCGCGUAUGGGAACGCGCGCGAUUUACAAAAUUAAUGAUGAGUCGGUGAUAUGUGUUUAAAAAAAUAUUGACACUUAGAUACAAUGUGCUCUAGGGUCGAUCAAUGGAGAAGUACGCGUAUGCACUCAUGAGGAUCAACAUAUCCUUCCACGCUAUUUCGUCAUACCGUCUCGACUUACGCGAGUUCACGGCGGGACUUCCUGAUGCACUAUCAUCGCUGCAUCGUCAGCCGUUGAAAAGCGUUACACGAUCAACCGAUCUGAAUUAAUUGAGAUAAAGACAAUCUAUAGUAGUAGGAGUACAAAGAGCAAGUUAAUAACAAUAAAUGAGUAAGAGAGGUACCUAGAUUCGCGAGAACAACGGUCGUUUCAACGCUACGAGGCUCUCCUGGAUCGCAAAUAGCAGAGAGAUGCAAUCCAUAUAACCGUAUGUCGUAAAUAGGAGGCGGCAGGUCUCAAGCUCGAUGAGAAUCUAACAAGAUCUGAUUCGUUAAAAUCGAAAUUGUUGUUGCGGCAUCUAUCACACGUUUCUGGGUAAGAGAUACGUAUAAUAUUAAAUUAUUUUUAUCCUACAAUUUAA